GCUGGCGGCAUGCCUCAUACAUGCAAGUCGAACGAGGUCUUCGGACCUAGUGGCGCACGGGUGAGUAACAUGUGGGAAUCUGCCUGAAGGUUCGGAAUAACUGCGGGAAACUGUAGCUAAUACCGGAUGUGUCUGUAAAGAGAAAGAUUUAUCGCCUUCAGAUGAGCCCGCACUAGAUUAGCUAGUUGGUGAGGUAACUGCUCCACCAAGGCUACGAUCUAUAGCUGAUUUGAGAGGAUGAUCAGCCACACUGGGACUGAGACACGGCCCAGACUCCUACGGGAGGCAGCAGUAGGGAAUAUUGGACAAUGGGGGAAACCCUGAUCCAGCAAUGCCGCGUGAGUGAAGAAGGCCUUCGGGUUGUAAAACUCUUUCAUCAAUGAUGAUAAUGACAUUAGUUGAAGAAGAAGCUCCGGCUAACUUCGUGCCAGCAGCCGCGGUAAUACGAAGGGGGCUAGCGUUGUUCGGAAUCACUGGGCGUAAAGCGUAUGUAGGCGGAUCAAAAAGUUAGAUGUGAAAUCCCUGGGCUCAACCCAGGAACUGCAUUUAAAACUAGUGAUCUAGAAUUUGGUAGGGGUUAGUAGAAUUUCCAGUGUAGAGGUGAAAUUCGUAGAUAUUGGAAAGAAUACCAGUGGCGAAGGCGACUAACUGGGCCAUUUUUGACGCUAAGAUACGAAAGCGUGGGUAGCAAACAGGAUUAGAUACCCUGGUAGUCCACGCAGUAAACGAUGAGUGCUAGUCGCUGGGACAAUAGUUUCAGUGUCGAAGCUAACGCAUUAAGCACUCCGCCU
rnacentral:rRNA from 1 species